rnacentral:rRNA from 1 species
UUCCUACGGGACGCAUCAGUAUUUACUCUUGCUCCCUUUUUUCCACCCUGAAGCAGCAACGCCGCGUGGAGGAUGAAGGUUUUCGGAUUGUAAACUCCUUUUGUUAGAGAAGAUAAUGACGGUAUCUAACGAAUAAGCACCGGCUAACUCCGUGCCAGCAGCCGCGGUAAUACGGAGGGUGCAAGCGUUACUCGGAAUCACUGGGCGUAAAGAGCGCGUAGGCGGGAUAGCAAGUCAGAUGUGAAAUCCUAUGGCUUAACCAUAGAACUGCAUUUGAAACUGUUAUUCUAGAGUAUGGGAGAGGU